CCCUUAGAUGUUCUGGGCCGCACGCGCGCUACACUGAUUCAUGCAACAAGUUUUGUCCUUGGCUGAUAGGCCUGGGUAAUCUUUGAACGCGAAUCGUGAUGGGGAUAGAUGAUUGCAAUUAUUCAUCUUCAACGAGGAAUUCCUAGUAAACGCAAGUCAUCAGCUUGCAUUGAUUACGUCCCUGCCCUUUGUACACACCGCCCGUCGCACCUACCGAUUGAAUGGUCCGGUGAAGCCUCCGGAUUGGCGCGCACCUCGGUGCCGCCGAGAAGUUGGCUAAACCUUACCAUUUAGAGGAAGGUGAANUCGUANCA
rnacentral:rRNA from 1 species